GGGCCCGCACAAGCGGUGGAGCAUGUGGUUUAAUUCGAUGAUACGCGAGGAACCUUACCAGGGCUUAAAUGGGAAAUGACAGGGGCAGAGACGCCCCCUUCUUCGGACAUUUUUCAAGGUGCUGCAUGGUUGUCGUCAGCUCGUGCCGUGAGGUGUCAGGUUAAGUCCUAUAACGAGCGCAACCCCUACCGUUAGUUGCCAGCGUGUAAUGACGGGGACUCUAACGGAACUGCCGGUGCAAACCGUGAGGAAGGUGGGGACGACGUCAAAUCAUCACGGCCCUUACGUCCUGGCCACACACGUGCUACAAUGGUACUUACAAUGGGAAGCAAAGAUGCAAGUCCUAGCCAA
rnacentral:rRNA from 1 species